rnacentral:rRNA from 1 species
UACGUAGGUGGCAAGCGUUGUCCGGAAUUAUUGGGCGUAAAGAGCGUGUAGGCGGCCAGACAAGUCCGUUGUGAAAACUAGAGGCUUAACCUCUAGACGUCGAUGGAAACUGUUUGGCUAGAGUCCGGAAGAGGAGAAUGGAAUUCCUGGUGUAGCGGUGAAAUGCGCAGAUAUCAGGAAGAACACCCGUGGCUAAGGCGGUUCUCUAGUACGGUACUGACGCUGAGACGCGAAAGCGUGGGGAGCGAACAGG